CUGUAAAUACCUGAAAGAAAAUAAAUCUAUAUGUAGGAACCUGUUGCACUAGAGGUCCCAACACACCAGACCACUGCUACACUAUGGUAAGGAAUGCCUGUCUUUCUCUCCCGAGAACUCAUUUUGGUAAGUGGGAUCAUUUGGCUGUGCUCGUCCUACCUGCAUACAGACAUAGCCUAAAGAGCAAGACUCCAAAGAUCAAGAUAACCGAGAGGUGGCCAUGGGAGGCAGAGGAACAGUUACAGGAUUGCCUUGAGUCAGCAGACUGGACCAUGUUCAGGAACACAUCUGAAGGACCUGAACAACUACAGUGGUGUCAUUACAGACUUUACUAAAAUAGCUGUGGAUUCAAGUCUGGAGAUCAAGAAUGCUACAAGAAGUACAGGUGUAAUGUCUGCAAAGCCAUCUCUUGGGCAAAGUGGAGAUUCCAGACUAGGCUGGAAUAAAAGAGGGAUGCUCGACAGCUGUGGCAGGGUUUGAAUGCCAGAACCUCCUGCAAAGGUAAAUCUUGUGACAAAGGGGAGAGCAGAACCUCACUUCCAGCUGAGCUCGCUUUGACCACCAGAAGAGGGAGGAACCAUUACCCACCCCCAUGUCUCCCAAUGAUCAUUUGGUUUCAGUAUCUGAAGAUGACGUGCAGGCUGCCUUCAAGAGAGUGAAUGCAAGGAAAGGAUCUGAUUUGGAUGAGACCUUGCUGAGAACUGAACACGUGCUGGACAUCUUCAAGCUCUGGAUCUGGCAGUGUGUGGAACCCACCUACUUUAAGGAAGUUUCAAUCAUAUCUGUGCCCAACAGUAGCAUGGUAACCUGUUUAAAUGACUAUUGCCCAGUGGCACUUACAUCCACAGUAGUGAAAUGUUUUGAGAGGCUGGUGUUGAAGCAUAUCAGCUCUUGGCUGAAUGGUGACUUGGAUCUUCUCCAAUUCACCGAGCAAAGCAACAGGAGAUGCUGUCUUGUUGGCUCUAAACAUUAAAUAUUUAUAAGACCGAAGAGUCAAAUUAAAAAGUGAAUAUUACAGUCUGUAACACAACCAAUUCCCGAAGUUGAUUGGAAGAGUCACUGUUACUUGAAAUCCGCCUGCCCCCACCACCCCAUACUGAUUCUAUUGACAAUGCUAGCAGCUCCACUGAUUGACAGCUCCCUCUGCCACCUUUCCAGUCAUGUGAUUCACAAUCACAUGACACUUCAAGCUGACGACAUAGAGCUCCUACUGUCACUGACGUCGUUUCCCUGGAAAGGUUCCAGUACAGGGACGGUGUGGGAAGUCCGAGAUGGCGGAGUCAGUCUCUACUUGUUGGGGUUUCGGCUUCAUUGUGGGAAUCGGCCUCUCCUCUUCCUGCUCACGGAACAGUGAGUGUCUGUCAGUGCCUCACUGCACCGGCUCUCUCCCUCAGACUCCAGUACCUGAAGUGAAGUUAACUGGACUACAGUUACCUGCUUUAUCUUCCACGCUUCUUCAACAAUAGUUUUCAACUCCACUGGGAGUUUUCUGUAACACAACUGUUAAUCCUGUGACAUCGUUGGUGCCUGACUCCAUCGGUUUCUGCCUUUGCUCUGGAUUCAUCAACUGUGUGGAGAGCAGGAGCUCCUGCAUGGGCAACUGCUUGUUUUACGUUUCAUUCUACCCUGACUUGCAUAUUGACAUUGACAGCGAUAUCCAUGGUUGAUCCUGACCAGUGGAGGGCCAUCACCAACAUGUCUGUACAUGGCCUCCUCUCCUGCUACAAUGAGGCCAAGCACAGGUUAGAUGAGCAACACAUCAUACUCUGACUGUGUGGCCUCCAAUCUUGAUGGCAUGAACAUUGAUUUCUCCAAAUUCUGGAUAUCACUACCCUGUUUCUUCCCCACUUCUUGUCCCCCAUUCUGAUGCCAUUUAACCCCUUCACCUCCUCAUGCACCCUCAUGACACGCCCAUCAUAUCCGUCUGGUUCUCCACUUCAUUCGUGUCAUCCCAUGAUCCAGCGUCUCUCCUAUUUGAUUCCUUUCUCUUCAUCUCUGCCUUUUCUGCCUGUCACCCAGCUCCUCACAUCAUCAUCCCUCCACAAACCACAUGUCCCCCCCCCCACUCACGUCCUCCUCCCCCUCCCCCACCCAGUCCUCUCCCACUCCCCCACCACCUUGUUCUGGCUUUUGUCCCUUUCUUUCUCAUCGUGUUGAAGGAUCUCAGCCCGAAAUGUCGACUGUUUGCACAGUUCCUCCAGCACUGUGUACACGUUUGCUUCAGUCUAUGUAUUGAUUAAACUAGUCAAACUGGUACAGUGGAAGAGGAAUUUGUGGAGUGGUCAGAGACAGUUUCUUACGACAGUUUCUUAUGAUAGUUUCUUACAGCAGUGUCUUACUCAGGAACAGGCCAUUUCAGAUGUAAUCUGUGUAGUGAGGUGGGAUUAAAGAGAGAUCUUGUGCUGAAGGAUCCCUGAAGAAGUGAUCACAAUGUGGGAGAUCUCCAGAGCACAGAUUGAGGGUGAACACCAGAGCCCAGGUUUCAGAUCAGUUUUACUUCCACUGGAUGAGCUGCCAAGCAUGGCUGACGAACCGAUCUGCCCAUAGUGGUUGGCUAUAUGACACUAGUAAAGAGAUAUGCACCUUCCCCUGUCAUUAGAAACAGUUCUGUUGGGCUUAAUAGCUAAACCAUAUGUAAAAGUCCAGAGCUGGAUCUGGUUGACAGAGGCAAUUUGAGGCAGAACUCCAUUGGCAGCAUUUAAUGGGAAGUAGGAGCUUGUCCCAUUACCACCCGAUCAAUGGUUAAGACAGCUGUAAGUGAUCGAUAUGUUGGUAUGUGCAUGGGAAACUCAAUUGGAAUUAGUUGUCACCAGCAGAUCGUGGUUGUUGCAGCUCACAGAGCAAAGGUGCUCGAUGCAGUGGUACCCCAAUCAUAUCAAUCACAGUUCCAUUCUCAUCUCUCUUUGAUAUUUCUGCUUUUGUGCAUUAUCCUAAUGGGAGAAACACCUGAGGAUCUUGAGACCACUCCUCCACAUGUCUUCUUUCCCUCACCCUUUCACCAUCACUGUCCCUACCUGAUGUGCAUAUGAAAAUUAUUCAUGCCCCUUGGAAGUUUUCAUGUUUUAUUGUUUUACAAUAUUGAAUCACAGUGGAUUGAAUUUUGCUUUUUUUAUUGAUCAACAGAAAAAGGCUCUUCUGUCAAGUGAAAAUGGAUCUCUGCAAAGUGCUGUAAACUAAUUACAGAUAUAAAACACAAAAUAAUUGUCUGAAUAAGUAUUCACCCCCUUAAAUAUGACACACCAAAUCAUCACUGGUUCAGGCAAUUAGUUUUAGGAGUUACAUUACUUGGGAGUGUGGAGGAGCAGAGGGAUCUGGGGGUACAUGUUCACUGAUCUCUGGAAGUUGCCACACAGAUAGAUUCAGUGGUGGAGGCAGAUACACAGGUGAAAUUUAAGAGAAUACCAGACAGGUAUA